AGGACGAACGCUGGCGGCGCGCCUAACACAUGCAAGUCGAGCGAGAACCGGGACUUCGGUCCCGGGGACAGCGGCGAACGGGUGAGUAACACGUGGAUAACCUGCCCUCGGCACCGGAAUAGCCCGGGGAAACCCGGAUUAAUGCCGGAUAGCCCCACAUCCCUGCGGGGAACGUGGGAAAAGGUAGCUUCGGCCUCUGGCCGAGGAUGGGUCCGCGGUGGAUUAGCUUGUUGGUGCGGGUAAUGGCCCACAAGGCGACGAUCCAUAGCUGGUCUGAGAGGACGAUCAGCCACAACUGGGACUGAGACACGGCCCAGACUCCGUACGGGAGGCAAGGCAGGUCGGGGAAUCUUGCGACAAUGGGCGAAAGCCUGACGCAGCGACGCCGAGUCGCGGAAGAACGGCCUUCGGGUUGUAAACCGCGUUUCGAGGUAGGACGAAGCCACGUCGGUUAAUACGCCAAGAGGUGACGGUACC
rnacentral:rRNA from 1 species